rnacentral:lncRNA from 1 species
GCAUAAUCUGAAAACUCAAGGGCAGCAAGUUUUACCUUUUUAUCGUCGGAAUAGUUUUGACAGUUAAAAACCAUCUCCACUUUACGCUCCCACUCUAAAUAGGCAUCAACAUCAGCCUUACCAUUGAAGCUUGGAAUCUUCAUUUUUAUGGAGUUCAUACUGUUAUCUACAUAUGGUACACGAUCAUUGAACCUUCUGG